UGAGAGUGGCGAACGGGGUGAGUAACACGUAGGUGACCUCGCCCCGGAGGAGGGGGACCAACCACUAGGAAACGGUGGCUAACUACCCCCAGAUGUUAUUGCGCUUAGAAAGCAAUUACUAAAGUUCCGGCGCUCCGGGAGGGGCCUGCGGCCCAUCAGCUUGUUGGUAAGGUAAUGGCUUACCAAGGCUAAGACGGGUAGGGGGCGUGAGAGCGUGACCCCCCCACACUGGUACUGAGACACGGACCAGAUACCUGCGGGUAGCAGCAGCAAGGAAUAUUGCCCAAUGGACGAAAGUCUGAGGCAGCAACACCGCGUGGAGGAUGAAGGCCUUCGGGUUGUAAACUCCUUUUCUGGGGGAAGAGAAAGGACGGUACCCCAGGAAUAAGUCUCGGCUAACUACGUG
rnacentral:rRNA from 1 species